UCCAUCAUGGUCCAGUGGCUAGGAUUUGCCGCUUUCAAAAUGAAGAUCCGGCAGGGCCCGGGUUCGAUUCCCGGCGAUGGAA